UCCUACGGGGCGCAGCAGCGGGGAAUAUUGCACAAUGGGGGAAACCCUGAUGCAGCGACGCCGCGUGAGUGAAGAAGUAAUUCGUUAUGUAAAGCUCUAUCAGCAGGGAAGAAAAUGACGGUACCUGAGUAAGAAGCCCCGGCUAACUACGUGCCAGCAGCCGCGGUAAUACGUAGGGGGCAAGCGUUAUCCGGAUUUACUGGGUGUAAAGGGAGCGUAGACGGCAGUGCACGUCUGGAGUGAAAGGCGGAGGCUCAACCCCCGGCCU
rnacentral:rRNA from 1 species